rnacentral:rRNA from 1 species
ACAUACGACCAUAGGGUGUGGAGAACAGGGCUUCCCGUCCGCUCAGCCGUACUUAAGCCACGCGCCGGCCGGUUAGUAGUUGGGUGGGUGACCACCAGCGAAUCCCGGCUGUUGUAUGUU